GAAUGAAAUUUAUGCAAUUACUAAACUUUCCACAGAAAAAUGCCGCUCCUCCCUCUCUCUGCCUUCGUCAUCAGGGCUUCAGAGGAGAAGCAAAGGUACAGAGCGUUGGUGGUAUAGUGGUGAGCAUAGCUGCCUUCCAAGCAGUUGACCCGGGUAGAUAGGAAGAGC